rnacentral:rRNA from 1 species
GACGAACGCUGGCGGCGUGCUUAACACAUGCAAGUCGAACGGAAAGGCCCUGCUUUUGUGGGGUGCUCGAGUGGCGAACGGGUGAGUAACACGUGAGUAACCUGCCCUUGACUUUGGGAUAACUUCAGGAAACUGGGGCUAAUACCGGAUAGGAGCUCCUGCUGCAUGGUGGGGGUUGGAAAGUUUCGGCGGUUGGGGAUGGACUCGCGGCUUAUCAGCUUGUUGGUGGGGUAGUGGCUUACCAAGGCUUUGACGGGUAGCCGGCCUGAGAGGGUGACCGGCCAAAUUGGGACUGAGAUACGGCCCAGAGUCCUACGGGAGGCAGCAGUGGGGAAUAUUGCCCAAUGGGCGGAAGCCUGAUGCAGCAACGCCGCGUGCGGGAUGACGGCCUUCGGGUUGUAAACCGCUUUCGGCUGUGACGAAGCGUGAGUGACGGUAAUGGGUAAAGAAGCACCGGCUAACUACGUG